CUUCUGCUUAAUUUUCUCACACAAUACACACACCAGGGUGUGAGCAGGUAAAAGCUCCUGACCAGAGCAGGGGAGCAGCAGGUAUCUGCCAAAACUCUGCCACACAGCCAUGGUGACCCAGGCCAGGCCCACACCACUGAAUUCAGCCUCAGCUGAGCCUCCUGGGCCCACCCUGUGGCAACCAGUGCUGACUUUGUCAGCACCAGUUGCAGGGGAUGGAUAACAUGAGAAACUGUUCCCAAAGGAUUUCAGUGCAACCACUGAAGUUCACCUAUGACAGCAGAACAUCAGCCAGCACCUUGACACAUUCUAUGCCUGGGCAGCACUGUGCUCCACAGCGAGAGCAGAGGUAAGCAGCAGGUGGUUCACACUGCAGCAUGCAACAGCCUGGAACAACAGCUACCCCUGCCUCUUGAUUUUAAGUGGCAAAAGUCUGAUGCUACAUGGAUAUAGUGUAAUAAUCCCUUAUUCUUUACCAAGUGCAAUAAACUGGAUUUAGGCACAAACAGCUCCCUCUAUGCCCUUCCACCUUGCAGUUUUUUCAGGUUUCAGGACCAUUUUAUCUUGUGACAUUUUGGAAUUCAGGAAUACCUAAUCAACCUGACAUGAUCUUGUAAUAUACAAAAUCCUUACUA